GGUUCCUAGGGGGGCAGCAGUGAGGAAUAUUGGUCAAUGGGCUUACGCCUGAACCAGCCAAGUCGCGUGAGGGAAGACUGCCCUAUGGGUUGUAAACCUCUUUUGUCAGGGAGCAACGCCGGCUACGUGUAGCCGGACUGAGAGUACCUGAAGAAAAAGCAUCGGCUAACUCCGUGCCAGCAGCCGCGGUAAUACGGAGGAUGCGAGCGUUAUCCGGAUUUAUUGGGUUUAAAGGGGGCGUAGUCGGAAUGCCAAGUCAGCGGUAAAAUCGCGGGGCUCAACCUCGCUCCGCCUUU
rnacentral:rRNA from 1 species